AGCACCCUGAAGAUUCACUUGAGACUCAGGUGUGUAAAUGUAUACAUGUACUUUGAAUGAUGUUGUAAAAGUCUAUGCAAGUAUUUAUUUUUCUGAGCACAUCAAAAUAUUUGUUAAUGAUGCAUGAACAUUGUAUGCAUGUUUGAUAUGUAUCUUGAUCCAUCUAUUUUCACUUUCAGAGUGAUAUACCUGUAAGGACUCCUUGUGAACAUGAUGACAAUUAAUGGUGCAGUUUGUCAAUAGAGCAGAACGGCAAUGCCACAAUGUUUCUUAUUGGAUGGUGGCAUGACCUGAAAUGGCUCUGCAAAAUUUCCCCAGAAUUGGAUUUCUUAGAGACUGUGGUUUGGCCAAGAACAAUAGAAUUGAUAGUCCUAGAGUAUGCAAGAAAGAAUCCGUGCAGAAGGACCAUGAACCCACUAGACCGAAGUUCAGAGUACCCUCUUGGACUGCGGCUAUAUAAUGUCAGACAUAUUCUGAUAACUUCCUUAGAUCAUCGACGACCCUUCGGUUUUCUUUGUAUGGCUUCUUUUUGUGAAUUCAAAAAAUGUUUAAGGUUUUCUGGACAUUCUGGAAUGACUUUAUUCAAAAUUGUGUUAAAGUCAUUGUGGUCAGUGUCAGAAAGAAUGACAUAAGACUCGUCAACUGUUUCAUUUUGUUCAGGUUGAGAGGGAAGCUCUUGUAUCUUCUCUUCUUGUAACUGCCUACAGUUUACACAGGUGGAAUUUACAGAUGUGUAAGUCAACACAACAAGGCAUGAUUUAGAACGUAAUACAGACUGUUGGCUAUUAUCAUCACCGCAUUUAUUCCAUACUUCCUUAAAGAAGUCAUGAUGUGUAGUCAAAGCGUCAUCGUGAUGCUGUAUUCCCUUGCAAUAUUUAAACUUCUUUAUAGCGGAAAAAACGCUGUGAAUGCUAGACUGGGAAAUGGAAGAUUUAUUGGAGAGACCAAGAUUGGUGAUGUUGAUCUUCUUCUCACAUAAAGAUACAGACCAAAUACAGUUUUUCUCAAAUUUCACCUCUGCAAUCAGUCUGUUUCCAUUUAAAAUAUAGUCAGUAGGAUAUCCUACUUUAAUUUCUGCUUCAGUUUCAUUCAUAAUGAAGCAAUGUUUUGUAAUAUAUUGUGAAAUUUCACACAGGUUUGAUUUGAUUUCCUCAUUUUGAAUAGUUUGCCAAGCAACACCCAAAUAAACUCUUUCUUUCUUCUCCCAA